GUUUAUCUAACCAAAAUUCUGGUUUCGUUUUUUUCCCAGAGUUUGUAACAGGUACUGCCCAGUGGGACAAUGACACGAUUCAGUGAGGAAGUGGGAAGCAUCAGCUCUGAUAAUACUCCAUAGGAGCCUUGACACAUUGUUAGAAAGGAUGGUGUGGAGAACACUGCACUGAUCCCAUCCUGCAUCGAAACAUGGUGCUCUGAAACACUUUAGACAGUGAUGGCUCUGAACACUUUGGACAGUGAUGGCUCUGGCCAUAGGAUCCCAAAGGUAUUCUUUGGAGAGAACUGAAAGAAUAAAGGAGCUUUUGAUCUUCAGGUUCUUGGUUACUUUUAUUUUUUUAUUUAUUUAUUUUUUUGUUCUGGUAUGUAUGUUUCUCUCAAAAAAAAAAAAAAAAAAAAAAAAAAAAGGAUUGAUCAAGACAGUUCCCAAGUGUAUGCAUGAGUGUUCCUGUUGUGGAAGGGAUGAACACACUUGUGAGGCACUGCUGGUCUCUCUUUCUGUGACACUUUAUAUAUACAGCUUUGGGUAUUUUCCUCUUCUGUGCUGUGGGUACUGAUCUCUACAGCCUGGAAAUAUGGGGAACAGGCAGUCUUUGAACCCUCUGGAUUUACCAGCUUUUCUGUGAUAAUGGGUGAUGUAAGGGGUCUGCGUGGUCCUUUCGCAUGUGUGGGUAUUUUCUUGGAUACCCCUGACUGUAUAGCCUUCAUAAGAUUGAAACUAGAUGUUCUUUAAGGUCCUUUUCUACCCAGGCCAUUCUAUGAUUCUAUGAUAAGUUCACCAUGGCCAUGUCUUACUCUGUGACAAGGCUUCACACUGCAGGCCACUCUCCUUGGCAGAGCACGCUGCCCCAGCAAUGGCUUGCAGGCCGGCUGCAGGCCGGAAGGCUGGACGUCCCAACAAAAUAAGAGAGAGCAGCUCAAACCUGAGCUCCUCCAUUGCAAGCAGGACUGAUUAAGUCCCUUGGCUCUAAAAACUUGACCUGGGAUUGAAUUCACCUCUCCAAGGGUGAGCAAAAUGAAUUGGUGCGGCCUGCGGCGCACCGUGCAAGGCCUGACUGUGGCAGGCAUGAAGAAGAAAAGCUCUCUCUUCCCUUGGGGCAGCCUGCCCUGGUUUCACCAGGGACCCCACUACUCAUGCUGGGCAGGGGGUCUCCCAGCCCUCUGGUCCUC
rnacentral:lncRNA from 1 species